rnacentral:rRNA from 1 species
UACGAAGGGGGCUAGCGUUGCUCAGAAUCACUGGGCGUAAAGCGCACGUAGGCGGAUUGUUAAGUCAGGGGUGAAAUCCUGGAGCUCAACUCCAGAACUGCCUUUGAUACUGGCGAUCUUGAGUCCGGGAGAGGUGAGUGGAACUGCGAGUGUAGAGGUGAAAUUCGUAGAUAUUCGCAAGAACACCAGUGGCGAAGGCGGCUCACUGGCCCGGUACUGACGCUGAGGUGCGAAAGCGUGGGGAGCGAACAGG